rnacentral:tRNA from 1 species
CGCUUAGCUCAGUUGGUUAGAGCAUCUGCCUUACAAGCAGAGGGUCGUAGGUUCGAGUCCUAUAGCGUC